UAGAGUAAACUACCACUCUAUAGGUCAGCCCUUAUCUAUUAUGUAUGGUCACUGAGUCCAGGUAUAGAUCUCUCAUGUUUCCCUUUGGGUUAUCAUAGUGUCAUGGAGUAAAGACUAAAGAGGGUGGUGGCAGCCCUAAACAGAACAAGUGCAACACAUCCCUGGAUAGUGACACCCAGGGACAACGGAGGACCACGCGGUCUCAUGCUGGUCCCUCCACACAAACCAAUACAAAGCAGUGCAGGUCUCAGGACAAGAAGGACCUCAGCACAGGAUGGAGACAGUCUUCUGACCUCAGUACAGCAGAUGACCAGAAGCUUUCUACCUCCAGUAAAGUACAACUGAUGCCCACAAACCAACACAAUGGAAGUAAAACUAAAAAACGAUCCGUGUUACAUAGGAAAACAUGCAAGAAAAACUAAACUGGUGGUGGAUUCAUGUUCUGUUAAUAUAUAAUGUUUUUGAAUUUUUUUUUUUAAUACUUCCCAUCAGGGAAAUUGCUUAAGGCUACCCAGCAAAGACCACAUGCCAGUGAGUGCACUGGAGGCAAUGCAGAUGAAGUGCUUUGCCCAAGGACACACAACAAUGACUAGGGAGGAGUUGGGAUUGAACCACCAACCCUGCUCUACCACUGAGCCACUGCUGUGGUGUGGUUGAUGUGGUUAUUGUAGCAAUAUUAUGAAUGUACCGACUUUAAAUGGCACAACCGUUUAUGGGGAUGAGUUAAGCUGUGACAGCGGUGUCAGAUCCAGGUGUGGAAAUAGUACAAGAAGCCCAAAAAUCACUGCAGCUGUGCCAAACGAAAAAGCCUCAGUCUGAGGUGUUCUCACAGAUGGGGCUAAACAAAUGCUUACAAUUGCAGGGCCAACAGUUAGAGAACACCAAGCACCAUGAAUACAGGCCAGGAAACACUGGUUUGUCAGAUAUUACGGAUGCUUUUAUCUUACAGCAACGACCCACUUAUUUAGUUAAAUGAAAAACAGCCACCUGGGAGAUUUGUGCACAUCUCAUUCCUUAAUUAAACUCAUAUUACUACUAGCAUCAAUGCUAUCUCAUUAUUUAUAAACACUGUUCAUUUCUGCCUUUUAUAAUUUACAUAUUAUUAGAACCUGUUACAGAGAUAGUAGUAAUCAAAAGCCCUUAAAAUGUGCCAAGAGGUGAACACAGAACUUUAUCUUAUUUUAUAUUCAAC
rnacentral:lncRNA from 1 species